GCCGGGAUAGCUCAGCUGGGAGAGCAACAGACUGAAGUCAAGCCGAAUUCUGGAGGUCCCGUGUUCAAUCCACGGUCCUGGCA